rnacentral:rRNA from 1 species
UGGGGAAUAUUGCACAAUGGGGGAAACCCUGAUGCAGCGACGCCGCGUGAGCGAAGAAGGCUUUCGAGUCGUAAAGCUCUGUCCUAUGAGAAGAUAAUGACGGUAUCAUAGGAGGAAGCCCUGGCUAAAUACGUGCCAGCAGCCGCGGUAAUACGUAUGGGGCGAGCGUUGUCCGGAAUUAUUGGGCGUAAAGGGAACGUAGGUGGUUUUUUAAGUCAGGUGUCAAAGCGUGGAGCUUAACUCCAUUAAGCACUUGAAACUGAAAGACUUGAGUGAAGGAGAGGAAAGUGGAAUUCCUAGUGUAGCGGUGAAAUGCGUAGAUAUUAGGAGGAAUACCGGUGGCGAAGGCGGCUUUCUGGACUGCAACUGACACUGAGGCACGAAAGCGUGGGUAGCAAACAGG